UACAGAGGGGGCAAGCGUUAUUCGGAAUUAUUGGGCGUAAAGGGCGCGUAGGCGGCCUUUCAAGUGACAGGUGAAAGCCCUCGGCUUAACCGAGGAACUGCCUGUCAGACUGGAAGGCUUGAGACCGGGAGAGGUGAGUGGAAUUCCCAGUGUAGCGGUGAAAUGCGUAGAUAUUGGGAGGAACACCAGUGGCGAAGGCGGCUCACUGGACCGGUACUGACGCUGAGGCGCGAAAGCGUGGGGAGCAAACAGG
rnacentral:rRNA from 1 species